CCAGCACCCGCGGUAAUUCCAGCUCCAAUAGCGUAUAUUAAAGUUGUUGCAGUUAAAAAGCUCGUAGUUGGAUUUGUGGUGUGACGGAUCGGUCCGACCUUUGGUGGGUACUCGAUGUUGUCACGCCAUCCUUGAGUGGUUCGUCCUGGCAUUAAGUUGUCGGGGCGGCAGCCGCUCAUCGUUUACUGUGAGAAAAUUAGAGUGUUCAAAGCAGGCUUAUGCCGUUGAAUAUACUAGCAUGGAAUAAUAAGAUAGGACCUCGGUACUAUUUUGUUGGUUUGAGAACCAAGGUAAUGAUCAAUAGGGACAGUUGGGGGUAUUCGUAUUCAGUUGUCAGAGGUGAAAUUCUUAGAUUUACGGAAGACGAACUACUGCGAAAGCAUUUACCAAGGAUGUUUUCAUUAAUCAAGAACGAAAGU
rnacentral:rRNA from 1 species